GUGCCCAAACCGAGAGCUUGAAGGACCCCCCCCCCCAAAUCUCUCUUUCUCUUUUAUGACCAACCCUCUUUCAUCCAGGCAGGCGUUUGUUCGCUGGAUUUUAUAAGAGCCUGUUUAAUUACAUAUAUAUAUAUUUUAAACACAGUCUAUGAGCUACAGUGUCGGGGCUGCUGAGACUGAAGAGAAUCGAGGAAACCUACCACAGGUGAAAGGAGCUUUUACGACGCUGCGGUACAGAUGAUUGAACACUUUAGCAGUAACUCAGCGCAAUCUCCCCGCUUACUCUGACUGAAACGGGGCGGAAAUUGAGGCUAAAACACUUUGGAACAACUAAAAAGGGACCAAGUUCUGUUUCCGAGCGAAUCUAAAACCCGCUGCGUUGUUUCCCCAACUGGGCUUUCAGUGGAAGAUGUGACCUUUUCUGUUGCGCCCCGUGGAGCAAAUCACUGCUUUUUUUCCUUUUGUUAUUGGUUCUCUUUUGUUUUGUUUUUUUGUUUUGUUUUUUCCACCCCCUAAUCAGUUACUCGAGCUCGACAUGCCUUUUUGUGGGAUUACACGCGGAGAUAUGAUCACUGUGAGAGACCGAGCUGGAUUGUGAAUUUACUGUCAGCGCUUUUUUUUUCCUUCUUUAUUUUUUCUUUAUUUCUUCUUCCUUUUUUAAAACUUGUCUCCAUAACGAAGGAAGUGCUCUAGCUGUUUUCUUCAAUGGCUUCAGUGUCAAGGUUGGCAAGACGCAAAGAUGCCAGUCGCUGGCCGAGAAUGUCGUCAAGUUUCUGGGCUGUGCUGCUCCUGACAGCGCUGCUGCUUCUCUAUUGCGGCCAGCUGGCAGCGGGGACAUGUGAGAUUGUGACGCUGGACAGGGACAGCAGCCAACCACGGCGGACCAUCGCCAGGCAGACGGCCCGCUGCGCCUGUAAGAAGGGCCAGAUCGCUGGAACUACAAGAGCUAGACCCGCCUGUGUGGACGCUGGUAUUGUUCGGAAAAAGCAAUGGUGUGAGAUGGUGCCGUGUUUGGAGGACGAGGGUUGCGACCUGUUAGUCAAUAGAUCUGGCUGGACUUGUACGCAGCCCGGAGGCCGAGUUAAAACCACUACGGCUCUAUGACGUGACAAGAGUCCCCCUCGACACUCUUGCACUAUGGAAAGCAUUGAUGACCCCUUGACAGACAGCCAAUUUCCAGCUACCACCACCACCACCACCAUUACAACAGCUCCACCCUUACCUUGGCCUCAAAGGCAGGAAGCAACACAAGCAGCUACAGAGCACCAAGAGCCUUGUGGAGGCAGUAAGGUCUCGUAACACAGCCAGAGACGGGAAAACCAGGGAGUGAUUGUUUGAGGGAGUCAUCUCUCCCUGUGACACUGGACAAACUUACUAUAAAACACUUCCUGUUUCCUGUGACUGGCCACCGCGGGUUUCUGACUGCUCCCUCCUGCUAUCUGUCGUUGGGUCAACACGUUGUAUCCACCUCCUCUCCACUGUUAUCUGCCUGCUCUGUGAAUUUAGCAGCACAUGCUCAUGCCACGGAGGUUCGGACACCUUAAAAUCCCAUGAAUGUUUGUUUGGUUUUUUUUUUGCCUCACUGGAAGUCCACUGUUUGGAGCUGCUAACUGCUUUUAAUACGGGAUUUCCCACAUCUCUCUCCUAGACUCUAGUGCAGGAGUUCCAGGGCGAAGACGGGGUCAUUACAGAACACAAUGUGACGCUUCUCAGACCAGCUCGCGAGGCCGUAAAAACCGAACCGAGCGCACUCUGCUGUGAAUAGGCCUUCUGCUGGAGUAAACCUCCCAUAUUUUUAUAGACCAAAGAGCAAAACAACAAAUAUGAUCAUUAUGACAGAGAGGACCAUCUGGCAAAGACACACGGAAACGUUGUUAACAUGCUUUGAGUGUCGCCACCGACCAACGACUGCCCCCACAGAGACUCCGUGCACAAACGAACCUUUGCAGCCGGCGGCGUACGUGCCGAACACAAUCAAAGGAGUACUUUUCAAACUUUACGGACAUUUUUUCGCAGACUAAGCUCACCACUGUAUUUUGGAACUGGAGAUAUAGGUACUACAUACGUAUAACUGUGUAUCAAAAAAAAA